AUGAUUGAGAUCGGCAAGGUCUUCGCGGCCCGCGGCCUUGUCCUCGCAAUCCUCAUCGUCAAGCUGCCGCACGACACGGGAGUGACGGGGCCGUUCCUUGCGGGCGUCACGGCAGCCAACCCGUCCAUCUCCUUCCACCACCUCCCUCUGGUCGACCUCCCGCCCAUGGAGUCUGGCCACCCCAAGGCGGUGACCUUCGAGGUCGCCCACCUCUCCAAUCCGCACCUUCAUGACUUCCUCGCCCGCGCCUCCCCGGCGGUCCUUGUGGUGGACUUAUUCUGCUGCGUCGUUGUCGACAUCGCCGCGGAGCUCCGCGUACCCACUUACUUCUUCUUCAUGUCCGGCGCUGAGGUCCACGCGUUCUUCCUGUACCUCCCAGUCCAGCACACUCAGAGCGCUGCCAGCUUUCGGGACAUGGGCGAGGAGCUGGUGCACAUGCCAGGGAUCCCCUCGUUCCUGGUGACGCGGGCCCUCAAGCCACUCAUGGACCGUGAUGACGUGGCGUACAGGGGAUUCUUGGGGGUGUCCGCCUACCUCAGCCGGUCCCAGGGCAUCAUCAUCAACACCUUCCGCUCGCUCGAGGCGCGCGAUAAGGACACCAUCCGCGCCGAGCUCUGCACGGCCCUGGGCCACCCGACGCCUCCCGUCUACUGCAUCGGGCCACUGGUCAAGUCGGAGGAGGUGGUCGUGGAGCGCGGCCAUGAGUCCCUCGCAUGGCUGGACACGCAACCAAAGGCCAGCGUGGUGUUCGUCUCCUUCGGAAGACUCGGUCUGUUCAGCGUGAGGUAGAUCAGAGAGAUAGCCAUUGGCCUGGAGGCGAGCGGCCAGACGUUUUUAUGGGUCGUGCGGAGCCCACCCAGCGACGACCCGAGGGAGUCGGACCUCGAUGCUCCCCUCCCAUAUGGCUUUCCGCGUCGGACUAAGGGCUCAGGACCCGUCGUCACAUCGUGGGCGCCGCAGUGCGAAGUGGUGGAGCACGACGUGGUUUGUUUCUUGACGCACCACGGGUGGAACUCCGUGCUAGAGUCGGUCAUGGCCGGCGUGCGCAUGCUCGCCUGACCGCUCUACGUAGGGCAACCACUUAUCAGGGUCUGCCCGGAGAAAGAGUUGGGUCUGGCCGUGGCGGUGGAAGGGUACGGCAAGGAGGUGGUUGAAUCCCACAAGGUGACGUUCAAGGUUAGGUGGAUGACGGAGUCUGGCAGCGGGAUGGUGCUCCAGGAGCGGAUGCUGGCGGCCAUGCGGUAGGGCAAGGACGAACUAGUCGAGGGCAGGGAGUCGAUUGUGACCUUGACACAACAUUUGGAGGGUUGGAUGGCUUCAUCUUCACAUGGGAGAUGA
rnacentral:rRNA from 1 species